CUACGGGAGGCAGCAGUCGAGGAUCUUCGGCAAUGGGCGCAAGCCUGACCGAGCGACGCCGCGUGUGCGAUGAAGGCCUUCGGGUUGUAAAGCACUGUCGAGGGGGAGAAAAGCCCGCAAGGGUGUGAUCGACCCCUGGAGGAAGCACGGGCUAAGUUCGUGCCAGCAGCCGCGGUAAGACGAACCGUGCGAACGUUGUUCGGAAUCACUGGGCUUAAAGGGCGCGUAGGCGGGCUACCAAGUCGGAGGUGAAAGCCCACGGCUCAACCGUGGAAGUGCCCCCGAUACUGGCAGUCUCGAGGGAGGUAGGGGCGUGCGGAACUUCCGGUGGAGCGGUGAAAUGCGUAGAUAUCGGAAGGAACACCGGUGGCGAAAGCGGCGCGCUGGACCUCUUCUGACGCUGAGGCGCGAAAGCCAGGGGAGCAAACGGGAUUAGAAACCCUAGUAGUCC
rnacentral:rRNA from 1 species